rnacentral:rRNA from 1 species
AGUGAACGCUGGCGGCGUGCUUAACACAUGCAAGUCGAACGAGAACGGAAUAUAGCUUGCUAUAUUUGUCAGCUAAGUGGCGCACGGGUGAGUAAUGUAUAGAUAACCUGCCCUUAAGAAAGGAUUAACAGUUGGAAACGACUGCUAAUGCCCUAUAUGCCUUUAAUACAUAAGUAUGCAAGGGAAACGCUUUAGUGCUUAAGGAUGGGUCUGUAUGGUAUCAGCUUGUUGGUGAGGUAAUGGCUCACCAAGGCUAUGACGCCUAACUGGUUUGAGAGGAUGAUCAGUCACACUGGAACGGAGACACGGUCCAGACUCCUACGGGAGACAGCAGUGGGGAAUAUUGCACAAUGGACGAAAGUCUGAUGCAGCAACGCCGCGUGGAGGAUGACACAUUUCGGUGCGUAAACUCCUUUUAUAUAGGAAGAUAAUGACGGUACUAUAUGAAUAAGCACCGGCUAACUCCGUGCCAGCCGCCGCGGUAA